rnacentral:lncRNA from 1 species
ACGCUCCGACUCAGCCUGACUCUCUCUACUUCAUCUCUUUAAAAUAUCAUAGUUACAUGUUUGGAAUUUAUUUUUUAUAAUAGAAUAAUUCUGAUCUGUUCAUAAUUUAGAAUAAAAGAAAGAAUAGAGGUUUCAUAAAAAGAAUGAACUGCGGUUGUUGAUCUGAAACAAUAAGGAUGAAAAACUUCAUGGUUUUUGUUUCACACCGAGAGAUCUUCCCUGAAAGAUUCAUGUCAACAUUAAAUUUCAUGAAAUAGAUAUAAUCAAUUAGAACAGUGUCAUGGUUGGAAGAAAAUAACUUGAAAUGAUAUCUUUUGUGGUGCUAAAGUGAGCAGGAAAAAGUCAAUAGAAUGGAUUACCAAAAUGAUUGAAGUGAGAAAGAGCAACGAAGUGAGAAGGCGCAGAAAGAAAAAGAAAAUCGCAACAGUAACAUGGGAGAGAGAGAAGAGGCAUGUAUGAAGGUGCUGAGAAAUAAUUAGGUUGCAAUUACUAAAAUUAGAUCUCAUGGUAAGGAUUAACCCAAAGGCUAUGAUUUAACCCUCUCAUCUCUCAUUUUAAAA